AUUGAACGCUGGCGGCGUGCCUAACACAUGCAAGUCGAGCGGUAACAGGUGUGGCAAUACAUGCUGACGAGCGGCGAACGGGUGAGUAAUGCUUCGGAAUCUACCCAAUGGUGGGGAAUAACCAGCCGAAAGGUUGGCUAAUACCGCAUACGUCCCACGGGAGAAAGCAGGGGAUCGCAAGACCUUGCGCCAAUGGAUGAGCCGAAGUCGGAUUAGCUAGUUGGAGGGUAACGGCCUACCAAGGCGACGAUCCGUAGCUGGUCUGAGAGGACGACCAGCCACACUGGGACUGAGACACGGCCCAGACUCCUACGGGAGGCAGCAGUGGGGAAUAUUGGACAAUGGGGGAAACCCUGAUCCAGCGACGCCGCGUGUGUGAAGAAGGCCUGC
rnacentral:rRNA from 1 species